rnacentral:rRNA from 1 species
UACGUAGGUGGCAAGCGUUGUCCGGAAUUAUUGGGCGUAAAGGGCGCGUAGGCGGCUCGGCACGUCCGUUGUGAAAUCGCCCGGCUCAACUGGGCGGGGUCGGCGGAUACGGCCGAGCUGGAGCAAGCUAGGGGGUAAUGGAAUUCCCGGUGUAGUGGUGGAAUGCGUAGAUAUCGGGAGGAACACCAGUGGCGAAGGCGGUUACCUGGAGCUUUGCUGACGCUGAUGCGCGAAAGCGUGGGGAGCGAUCCGG